rnacentral:rRNA from 1 species
GUGGGGAAUUUUGGACAAUGGGGGCAACCCUGAUCCAGCCAUCCCGCGUGUGCGAUGAAGGCCUUCGGGUUGUAAAGCACUUUUGGCAGGGAAGAAAAGUUUCGGGCUAAUACCCUGGAGCGAUGACGGUACCUGCAGAAUAAGCACCGGCUAACUACGUGCCAGCAGCCGCGGUAAUACGUAGGGUGCAAGCGUUAAUCGGAAUUACUGGGCGUAAAGCGUGCGCAGGCGGUUCGGAAAGAAAGAUGUGAAAUCCCAGGGCUUAACCUUGGAACUGCAUUUUUAACUGUCGAACUCGAGUAUGUCAGAGGGGGGUAGAAUUCCACGUGUAGCAGUGAAAUGCGUAGAGAUGUGGAGGAAUACCGAUGGCGAAGGCAGCCCCCUGGGCCUGCACUGACGCUCAUGCACGAAAGCGUGGGGAGCAAACAGGAUUAGAUAUCCCAGUAGUCC